AAUGUCUGAAGUUGUCCAGGAUCUUUUGCACAUGAUAUGAUAUGGAGGAGAAUCUGAAGUACUCAAUCAACUGAAACUCAAGAUUUUGGUCAGAUGGGAAGUUAUUGGAGAAACAGUAUUUAUAACGUUAUUCAUCUGUUAUGUAUACUUGAGGGCUUGUUUGGAUGGAAAUUUUAGAGAUAACCUAGCUACAAAUUCUUCUAGUGCUAUAUCUACUAUUUAUUGUUCUGUAUAUUCUUUGGAGAUGUGUUAAUACAAUUAUUAUCAUUAUUUGUGCAUAUGAAUUUCUGAUGUAAUUAUUCAUUCUUGGUGCCUUAGUUUGAAAAUAGUUGAACUUGAGAUCUCACGGUCUUAUAGAUGAUUCCAAUAUGACUAAGUUAAAGCGCAUUGGAUGGUUCAUGUAAUUAUUUAUUUAUUAUUGAACUUUUAUGUCAGAGUAUCAACUGCUCGCUGAAGGGUUUGUUGAAUACCAACCGCUG
rnacentral:misc_RNA from 1 species